rnacentral:misc_RNA from 1 species
AAAGUCGUAACAAGGUUUCCGUAGGUGAACCUGCGGAAGGAUCAUUACAAAUCCACGUCUCUUUUGAGACAAGUUGAAAUGUUGAAGUGUGUGAUGUAUAUAUAUACAUGGGUGUUGUUUGGCCUUGUUCUUUGCUUCACGCAUCGAACAACCACAAUACUCUACUAUAUUAUUAUCUAUCCUCCUUCUACCCUUUUACAUGCGUUGAUCAGUUGUAUUCAUUUAAACUUUAACACAACUUAUAACAAUGGAUCUCUAGGCUCUU